rnacentral:rRNA from 1 species
ACAACUUUCAACAAUGGAUCUCUUGGCUCUCGCAUCGAUGAAGAACACAGCGAAAUGUGAUAAGUAAUGUGAAUUGCAGAAUCCAGUGAAUCAUCGAAUUUUUGAACGCAUCUUGCGCUCCUUGGCAUUCUGAGGAGCAUGCCUGUUUGAGUGUCAUUAAA